rnacentral:tRNA from 1 species
UACUUUUUGGUGUAAGAUGCACAGAAAUUUUUGAAAUUUCUAGGGCAGUUUAAUUCUGCAGUUAGUAA